rnacentral:rRNA from 1 species
UACGGAGGGGGCGAGCGUUAUUCGGAAUUAUUGGGCGUAAAGGGCGCGUAGGCGGCUUGAUGUGUCAAAGGUGAAAUCCCUCGGCUCAACUGAGGAACUGCCUUUGAAACUGUCUGGCUUGAGGCCGGGAGAGGGUAGCGGAAUUCCCAGUGUAGCGGUGAAAUGCGUAGAUACUGGGAGGAACACCGGUGGCGAAGGCGGCAUUCUGGACCGAUAUUGACGCUGAGGAGCGAAAGCCAGGGGAGCAAACGGG